rnacentral:rRNA from 1 species
UACGAAGGGGGCUAGCGUUGCUCGGAAUCACUGGGCGUAAAGCGCACGUAGGCGGAUUGUUAAGUCAGGGGUGAAAUCCCAGAGCUCAACUCUGGAACUGCCUUUGAUACUGGCGAUCUUGAGUCCGGAAGAGGUGAGUGGAACUCCGAGUGUAGAGGUGAAAUUCGUAGAUAUUCGCAAGAACACCAGUGGCGAAGGCGGCUCACUGGCCCGGUACUGACGCUGAGGUGCGAAAGCGUGGGGAGCAAACAGG